rnacentral:rRNA from 1 species
UAGGGAAUAUUGGACAAUGGGUGAGAGCCUGAUCCAGCCAUGCCGCGUGCAGGAAGAAGGCGUUAUGCGUUGUAAACUGCUUUUUGCCAGGGGAUAAAAAGACCGUGCGCGGUUAAUUGAAGGUACCUGGUGAAUAAGCCACGGCUAACUACGUGCCAGCAGCCGCGGUAAUACGUAGGUGGCAAGCGUUGUCCGGAUUUAUUGGGUUUAAAGGGUGCGUAGGUGGCCCUGUAAGUCAGUGGUGAAAUAUCUCAGCUUAACUGAGAGGGUGCCAUUGAUACUGCAGGGCUUGAGUACAGAUGAGGUAGGCGGAAUUGACGGUGUAGCGGUGAAAUGCAUAGAUAUCGUCAAGAACACCGAUAGCGAAGGCAGCUUACCAAGCUGUAACUGACACUGAGGCACGAAAGUGUGGGGAUCAAACAGGAUUAGAUACCCCCGUAGUCCCUGAGCGGGCUGGCAAGGCGC